rnacentral:rRNA from 1 species
GAUGAACGCUGGCGGCGUGCCUAAUACAUGCAAGUCGAGCGAACAGAUGAGGAGCUUGCUCCUCUGACGUUAGCGGCGGACGGGUGAGUAACACGUGGAUAACCUACCUAUAAGACUGGGAUAACUUCGGGAAACCGGAGCUACUACCGGAUAAUAUAUUGAACCGCAUGGUUCAAUAGUGAAAGACGGUUUUGCUGUCACUUAUAGAUGGAUCCGCGCCGCAUUAGCUAGUUGGUAAGGUAACGGCUUACCAAGGCAACGAUGCGUAGCCGACCUGAGAGGGUGAUCGGCCACACUGGAACUGAGACACGGUCCAGACUCCUACGGGAGGCAGCAGUAGGGAAUCUUCCGCAAUGGGCGAAAGCCUGACGGAGCAACGCCGCGUGAGUGAUGAAGGUCUUCGGAUCGUAAAACUCUGUUAUUAGGGAAGAAAAAAUGUGUAAGUAACUAUGCACGUCUUGACGGUACCUAAUCAGAAAGCCACGGCUAACUACGUG